AGAGGGGAAGUAGGCUGAACAUUCAGGUUGAGUAUUAGGCAAGAUUUCUUCUCUUAAAGAGAGGUGAUGCAUUGGUACAACUGCCCUGGGAGGUGGAGGGGAGGGGGUCACCAUCCCUGGAGGAGUUCAGGAUAUGUGGCACUGGGGGAUGUGGUCAGUAGGCAAGGUGGGAUGGGUUGGGAAUCUGAGCAGUCUCCAACCUUAAUGAUUCUAUGAUUCUACGACACACUUGGCUUUGCUACGUUGCUGCAAAGACUGUUUUCAACAAGCUUUGAAAUUACAUGAGAUGAGAUGAUACAGAAUGCAUCUGUCCGUAGAGAAGUGAAUUGCUUUUGAUUAACCUGUUGCUUGGGUGUUUUUGUUUGUUUGUUUUUAAUGCUAUUUGAUGCAGUGGGGCUGUCAGUCCAGCAAACUGCCUCAUUUUGCAGAAUGUUCCAGGAAAGCAUGGGAAACGUUUCCAGCUAAAUCUGCAAGAAAAAUAUUUGCAUUACCCUCCAGGCUGAUUUGUAACCUAGAUUGCUGGGGUUGGGGGCUUGGGGUGGAGGGAUGCUGCUUUUCAGUAAGCUUGCACAAAAUAGACAUUUCCCUUUAGUCUGGAACAAAAUGAAAUUCAGACCACUGCAGAUGCUCAAAUGCCAAAUGACUUUCAAGCAUGAGAAAAUCUUGAAAUCCUAAGCAUAAAACAUAUGGCGCUUUGCUUUGGAAUGAGAUUGAAAAGGAAAAGCUCAACAGUAAAGCUGAACCGAGGACAUUUCAUUAUUCAGAAUGAUAGGAAAGAGCUUUCUUUUAGCAUAAGAAGAGAGAAUUUUGAGCAGAUCUGGCUGUUUUUGAAGGCAAGCAGCAGCCUUAUUAUUUAUUUGCCUCGUGGUCACAUUAGGUCAAUUAUUAACUCACUCAAAUGAAAGCCAAAAAGCUCCUUAAGAAUCUGUUUUAUGUGAAAGUGUGGAUGGAAGUGGAAACAAACAAGCAGAUUUUGUUCAGUUUAGGAGAGAAACAUCAACCAUUGUCUCUCUCUGUGUGCAGAGAUUUGGGACAGCUUUGGUCAUCCAAUAUGGAUAUCAAAGGAAGCAAAAUGGGGCUGAGGUAUUCACUGCUGAUAGUGGGGGGGGGGCAUCCCCCAAAUAUGAAAUAUCUGGGGGAUCCGUGUGUCCAUAUGAGCACUGUCUGUAUUUUUGCCCCGUGUCAGCUCUCCCCUUUUGCAAUCUGCCAUUCACAUCCCAUGAGCCAGAAGCAAUUGUGACUCAGAGUCGAGCUCAGAGUCGCUUUCCUGACCCUGUCUGCAACUGCAGAUCGCCCCAGGGCACAGCAGCUCAUUAACCUGGGGUUGUUCUUUGUAGCUGCAGGUGGUUUUCUCACUCCUGAUCCCAUCCCCAUCCCUCUCUCUGACCAUUCUCCUCCUGUGGGCCACGGUUCUAUUCCAAAUGUCCAUUUUACACCUCGCUUUAAUUAGUUUUGUAUCACUGUGUUGCAUUUAUAUCGCUUGGCAUAAGCUUCUCGUGGCUUCCAUUACAUCUUCUGCACUGCUGGGAUUUUUAUUUAUGGUGUUUCUGGUGCAUUUGCAUUACUUUCCUGAGAUGGAUAUCAUUUUGGCUGGAUUUACAGUGUAUUUCUUCAGUUAGAUUUAUAUCGCUUUAAUUAGAUUUAUAUCUCUUUAGGCUUUGAGGGCUUCACUUAGAUUUAUAAUCUCUCUUUUAGCAGGCUUGUCUUGCACGGGAGAUUCGCAUCCUCUUUCUUUCAAAGGGUAUUGCUUCACUCAACACCAGUGUUGCUUUAUCUAGGCUUUGGUCAGCCUAGGUUACACAAAGCCAGAACUCACAGCUUGCUUUCUUUCCCCUGAAUUUCCAACAGGAUUAUUCUACCAUAAAUUAACCUCUUCCAAGCCAACACCAGCAUGAAUGUAUUGGAGAUCAUCUCACCUGCUGGAUCAACAAGAGUCCAGUUAGCACGAUGCUCUUCCUAUUCCUUCCUGUGCAGUGUGCAGCUGUGUGAUGGAGGCUCCAAGCUUGCUUUUCCCUGUGCCAUAAUCAAGAAGCCUCGUUGGAGCUGAUCUCUUACAGAACAUAGCCUGUGCUUCCCAACAACAGCCACAGAGGACAUGGCUUUGUGCUCCUGCCCAGCUCUGAUCACAUCAGCUGGAAGGGAUCUACAUCCAUGUGCUUCGGGGUGGAAGCUAAGCUGGGAUUGAGAGGGGUCAGUGGGUGUUCCCUGAGGGCUGUUGUUUCAGGUGUUCACAGCAGGAUGCUCGGCUGCUUUCCCACUUGGAGGCAAUUUGGGGCUCUGUUGAAGGGCAGGAUGUGGGCUGGGUAAAUUCAGUUUUAGCUGAUGGAAAUGAAUUCCUGUGAACCCCUCCAGCCAUCAGCACUCAGUUGGGCAGGGCUGGAUGCACCUUGAGCUCUCACCCAGUCCAACCUCCUGGCCCUCUCCUUGCCCAAAACACAGUGAGACCCUGAUGCUUACUGUGUGCCCAAUGAUGUGACAAUGGCCACAGAACCAUUACAGAACCUUUGGAACUGAUCACUAAGCUCAUCAAAUCCAACCCGUCCCCACUAGCCACGUCUCCAUCCUCUGCCCUUCCUGCAGCUGCACAAACGAGUGGCUAACUCAAUUAAUGUGCAUCUAAUUAGGCCAUCAGCAUCUCUGGAAGAGGGGCUGCAUCCGCAGCAUGGGCUGCAGAGGUCUGAGCAUUCCAUUGCCCUCCCCAUGCUCUGCCACUGGGCCCCAUUCAUUUAAUUACGCCUGGCUGCUGUGCUCCUCGCCCUUUUAAUUGCCCUGGACACAGAGCAGCGUGGUAAGCAGGUCAGAGAUAGAUGCUGGGCAUUGUUUUAAGACAGUAAAGCUGUUUUUAAACAGCAUUCAGCAGCUUGCUUUAUGUAAUUGUUGAGAGAAGGAGGGCAUUCAGCAGGGGCAGCGGGGAAUGCUCCAAAGAGAUGCUGAGCAACUCCUAAUUAACGACAAAUGACUCGGAGCCUGAUGCACUGCUGUAACUGUAAGAUCUCUGCCGAACACCGCAGCUGCAAAUCCUUUCCCAGAGCUUCAGACCAAGCCAUAGGUCUGCAGCAAUAUUCCCAGGUAGAGCUGGGAUUUAGUCAACAGUUUGGAGGACUGGCAAAACCCAAACUAAUUAACUCUCCCUGAGGCUUAUUAGUUCUCUGGUGCUGGGAUCAAUGGGAAAAAGCUGAUUUUUAUGCGUUCACAUCCCCAAAAAGAGCUGCCCUGAUUGAACACUUCAAAAAGCACUGAUGAUUCUUUCAUGUAGUUUAAAAGUGGUGUUUGGCAUGAAAAUGAAAACAAAGGAUGGGAGAUUAAAUAGAUCAAGGCAGCACAUUUGGGCCUGAUCCCUGACCUCAGUUAUACCACUUCUACCUGAAAUUCAUGGUGGUGAAAAUAAGAUGAGAAAGAGGCAGCAAAGACUUGUGCUUGGUUGGUUUUCAUUUUGGAGACUGAUGUUGCUGAGGCCGUUCUGGACAAGGUGUGUUUUCAGAGCACAACUGAGGUCUGUUUGUCCUUCCCCUUGCACCGCCGUCCUGAUCUCAGGCUGUGCAAGCACCCAGCCAAAGUGCUGGAAGGAAAAUCUGCCUGGCUCUGUGUGUGCAGUCCAGCAAGGGAAAUAAACCCAAUGGGGCCAGGGCAGGGGAUGGAAAGCCUGGCAAGCCACGGGCAAGCAGCCCAGCCUAAGGCUGCGUGGCUCAGGAUGUGCUGGGUGAGCAGCCUGCCCAGGGCACUGAGCACUCGGGAUGUUUCCAGGGGCCCUGCUGAGCUCUGCAGCGUUCUAGAUGGGCAAACUGCAGUGUAUGCCCUGCUGAAAGCUCUGCAGGACUGUGAGUGCUGCUGGAGGAGCUCCCAGAGAUGUGUGUGGCCCCAGGACCGUGGGGAAGCCUGCCCAGCCCCUGUCUGCCACCUUUCCAAAGCAUAUCAUGCUUUCCAAGCAUGGGUGAGAUCAGGAUCUCAUUUUGCUCUGGUCUGGUCUGCAAUCUAGCCUCAAACCUGUUGCACUGAGAAGACAGGUGGAUGCAAGGCUUUGAUGUCUGCUGCAUCCAUCUCCCUCCAUGCCCUGACCACGCAGGAGCAAUGUCCAAUUCAUUACACACAGCCUGCUGCAUCCCCUUGGAAGAAAAGGGACUCUAUCUAAGCUCUGCCUCAGAGGGGACUUAGAACAGCUGGCUCUGAGCACUCCAGCAGGCACUAAUUACCCUAACGAGCCUCCCCAGGCCUUGCCCCAAGCACCCUCUUCCCACUGGCCCUACAGCUCCAUUUAAGUUCAAGCCAGGAGCUGCACUAUUCUACUGAGCACCUGGAACAGGGGACAAGUGGGUGAAUAGGGCAGCAUUGUCACAUAUAGAGGCAGCCCUGGGUAUGGAGUAGGCUUGGUGGGACAGAGCAUCCCUAAGUAGGGGUGGGCAGAUAAGCCAAGGCUGUGCUGAGGUGAGUCAACCAGAAGCAUCCUAACUGCAGCGGGUGGCUGUGGAGUGUGAUUUUGGGAUUGAAAGGUGGAAGAGUUUUCUAACAUAGGGCAAGGGACAGGGCAGGUGUAUUCCUGGAAUGGAUGAAGGGAAGAUGCUGCAGGUGCUGACAUGACGCUGAACUUCAAGUUUCGAGGUGAGGAAGGGGGAAUGAAGAUUUGCUGCUCAGUUGGGGCUGACCAAAGCUGCAUCCCAGGCCCCAAGGUGAAGCUGUGUCAGACUGUAAUCCUCUGCUCCCAAGCACUGUUGGAUCAUCCCAGCAGAGCAUGGAGAAUGUUUUCUUUUAACGGCACAUUUUUCCUUAAACCAGUUUGCAGGCACGGCUGAGGCAUUUUAAUGGAAAUUUCCUCCCAGUAAAAAGGCUGCAGCACACAUACCAGAAACUCUUGGCCCGGAUCAUUAACAUUCAGUAAAACUAUAAGCAACCCAGUGGGAGCAUUGAGCUGCCAGGCAUGCUUCGUCUUCCUACAGCUCAGCACACAGACUGUGGAUGGUGGGCAGCCCUUCAGAUGUACAAACAGCAAAGUCAGAAGAGGCCAACACCAAUGAAGCCUUGCUUUGGCCAUCAGGACCUGUCCCACAGUCUUUAAGCUGUGCUUAAUCCUCUCAGCUGCCUUUCAUGGCCAUUGAUUUCCAGCCACCUUACCCUGCUCUGCUGAUGGUGAAUCUCAGCAAGCUGUUCUCUCCUGUGCUCCUUGGCUGCUUUCUGUCUAUUCACAUAGGUGCUGGGAUCAGAUCUUCCAUUCCCAGGUCACGUUCAGGGUCUGUUUGUGCCUCAGUCCCAUUGCAGGAGCACAGCAUUGCUGGCAAGGUGCUGGGCACUGGAAGGAGCCUACUGAGAUGAUCUCUUUUUCUCAUUUCCCAUGCUUUGGGAGGAUACCAGGAGGAAAAUUGAUCCUAUUUACUCCACGCCAACUUUACAGGGAAGGAGAGCCCUGAAUUCCCCCUCACACCCUGCGGUCCAGGUACACAGCAGGCACUGCUGAAACCUGCAGCCAGGAGCUCACAGCUGCACAGAGGAGGGAUGGAUGCAUCCUCAUCCCUGCUAUCCUCCAGCAUGGAUGCAGGACUGUGCCACACUCCAGUGCUGGGCUGCACGCUGCUGGACCCGAAGUGACCCUGGUGCAAUGGGGAAGCUGCUCCCAGGUUUGAGCAGAGCACAGCCCUUCACACUGGACAUGUUCCAAGGGUUAUUUGUGCCUGCUGACCUCACGACGCUUUUCCUUCCAGCCCCUGCUGGGGUCCUCCUGUCUUUUUGCAUAAUCUCCUCUGAAGAAAUAGCAGGAGUGGGGCCUUCUUUGCAGCUUUUGUCCAGGAGAGCUGCCUUGCUGCACGGUUCCACUUUGAGAACCCCCCUCUCUUUUUGUGUUUGAGCUGAACCAUUUCUUUUCUCCCCUCUUUGCACCUCUUAACUUUCUCUCCUUCUGGACUCUGAUUUCUUUGCACCGUUAUUGUCCUCAAAAGUAUUUUGAGGACACAGUUUGUUCAAAGCAAGGCUGUGACAAUGCAAGGGCUGCAACUGGAAGCGUGGAUUAAAGCAGCGCUUUCUAUUUAUUUCUGUGCUUUUCCUCGCAAAGCUGUUUCUCUCAGACCCCAAUCCUGCUGCUGCUGUGACCUUUGCAUUUGCAGAGUGACCUUUGGAAAUCAAAGGGGCCCUUCAUCGGCAUCUGCCCAUCUGGAAGCGAUUGCAGCAGCGGGUGCAGGGCAAGUUGGGGCCUCGUGGCUGCAGCCUGGAGUGACCCAGUGAUGGGAAGAGGAGCUGAAGUGCCUUGCAUUGCAUCCUCGGGGUGGGAAUACCUCCGGCGUGCUGCCUGGAUGCAGGGAGAGCCUCAGCAGCCACGUCAACACUAUUUGAUUCACAGCCACCGUGUGUUCAGUGGACUCUGAAUUGUGUGCGUCGGUGCAAACUGCUGCCCUGGGCUUUGCUUUUCGUGCUGGCCUCCCCAUUCCUUUGUGUUCAGUUAUUUGUCAGGGAGGAGAAAACAUGAAGAAAGGAAAAAAAAGCACAGGAGAGCCCGGCAGCUGCCCUGGUGCUGCUGGAGAUGCCUCUCCAUCCUCUCGACAGAAGGGAGCGGGGCUCGGGACAGCGCUACUUUCUUUGCCUUCGGGCUUCUCUCUGCCUUUUUUCAAUCCCCUUUUCCCCUCCCUCUCUCCUCCCCCCGCAGCCCAGCUGGGGAGCAGCUGCGGCUCGCACUGGCCCUUUAACGGCGGGGCGGUGCUGCGGGCCCGAGGCUCGGCUCUCCGCGCUGGGGGAGGAAGUGCGGCCGGGGGGCGG